rnacentral:rRNA from 1 species
GGCCUACCAUGGUUUCAACGGGUAACGGGGAAUAAGGGUUCGAUUCCGGAGAGGGAGCCUGAGAAACGGCUACCACAUCCAAGGAAGGCAGCAGGCGCGCAAAUUACCCAAUCCCGACACGGGGAGGUAGUGACAAUAAAUAACAAUAUAGGGCUCUUUCGGGUCUUAUAAUUGGAAUGAGUACAAUUUAAAUCCCUUAACGAGGAACAAUUGGAGGGCAAGUCUGGUGCCAGCAGCCGCGGUAAUUCCAGCUCCAAUAGCGUAUAUUAAAGUUGUUGCAGUUAAAAAGCUCGUAGUUGAACUUCAGACCUGGUUGGGCGGUCCGCUUAACGGCGUGUACUGUCCGACUGGGCCUUACCUCUUGGUGAGCCGGCGUGCCCUUUAUUGGCGUGCGUCGGGGAACCAGGACUUUUACCUUGAGAAAAUUAGAGUGUUCAAAGCAGGCCUAUGCCCGAAUACAUUAGCAUGGAAUAAUAAAAUAGGACGUUUGAUUCUAUUUUGUUGGUUUCUAGAGUCGCCGUAAUGAUUAAUAGGGAUAGUUGGGGGCAUUGGUAUUGAGUCGCUAGAGGUGAAAUUCUUGGAUUUAUUGAAGACUAACUACUGCGAAAGCAUUUGCCAAGGAUGUUUUCAUUAAUCAAGAACGAAAGUUAGGGGAUCGAAGACGAUCAGAUACCGUCGUAGUCUUAACCAUAAACUAUGCCGACUAGGGAUCGGAUGAUGUUAAUUUUUUAAUGACUCAUUCGGCGCCUUACG